CCUACGAGUGGCAGCAGUGGGGAAUUUUGCGCAAUGCUCGUAAGAGUGACGCAGCGACGCCGCGUGAAUGACGAAGGCCUUCGGGUCGUAAAGUUCUUUCGACAGGGAAGAAAAUGCCUAUGAGUAACUGUGUAUGUAUUGACGGUACCUGUAUAAGCAGCCCCGGCUAACUCCGUGCCAGCAGCCGCGUUAAUACGGAGGGGGCGAGCGUUGUUCGGAGGGACUGGGCGUAAAGAGCACGUAGGCGGUGUUGUAAGUCAUUAGUCAAAGACUAGAGCUCAACUUUAGUAAGGCUAGUGAUACUAUAAUACUAGAGUAUCAGAGAGGAUUGCAGAAUUCCUGGUGUAGCGGUGAAAUGCGUAGAUAUCAGGAGGAAUACCGUUAGCGAAGGCGGCAAUCUGGCUGGAAACUGACGCUGAGGUGCGAAAGCGUGGGUAGCAAACAGGAUUAGAUACCCCAGUAGUC
rnacentral:rRNA from 1 species